UACGUAGGUGGCAAGCGUUGUCCGGAUUUACUGGGCGUAAAGAGCGCGCAGGCGGUCGUUCAAGUCGCGUGUGAAAGCCCCCGGCUCAACUGGGGAGGGUCACGCGAUACUGAUCGACUCGAAGGCAGGAGAGGGUAGUGGAAUUCCCGGUGUAGUGGUGAAAUGCGUAGAUAUCGGGAGGAACACCAGUGGCGAAGGCGACUACCUGGCCUGUUCUUGACGCUGAGGCGCGAAAGCGAGGGGAGCAAACGGG
rnacentral:rRNA from 1 species